rnacentral:telomerase_RNA from 1 species
UCAAUUGCGGGCUACGAGUUAGGUACAUACACCCUACAGUGUUGUGUACCUGUCGAUAACCUAACCUAACCUGACAACUAGAAAAUGUUUAUAAACUUUUCUAGUUCCAGGCCCAAUUUUCCAGUGAGUCCAUCUUGCACUGUGGAGUACAUAUACAAUGGUGUUUCGGCCGUUCAAUGUAUGUACCAUUAUUUCGUGGUUUACUUUCUCUCUGGUUCCACGUUCAAAAAAAUGUUGACGUUUGUCAACGUUACAGAGAGGUCUCGUCCCGCUUUUAUUU